rnacentral:rRNA from 1 species
AACGCGAAGAACCUUACCUACUCUUGACAUCCAGAGAAUUCGCUAGAGAUAGCUUAGUGCCUUCGGGAACUCUGAGACAGGUGCUGCAUGGCUGUCGUCAGCUCGUGUUGUGAAAUGUUGGGUUAAGUCCCGCAACGAGCGCAACCCUUAUCCUUUGUUGCCAGCACGUAAUGGUGGGAACUCAAAGGAGACUGCCGGUGAUAAACCGGAGGAAGGUGGGGAUGACGUCAAGUCAUCAUGGCCCUUACGAGUAGGGCUACACACGUGCUACAAUGGCGUAUACAAAGAGAAGCGAACUCGCGAGAGCAAGCGGACCUCAUAAAGUACGUCGUAGUCCGGAUCGGAGUCUGCAACUCGACUCCGUGAAGUCGGAAUCGCUAGUAAUCGUAGAUCAGAAUGCUACGGUGAAUACGUUCCCGGGCCUUGUA